rnacentral:misc_RNA from 1 species
CGGGUAUUCCCCAUAAUACAUUUUGUAUGACACAUCAUAUGCAUACUAUCUUUCAGCAUAAAUAUAUUUGUUAAUAAAUAAUUUAUUGAAUUCUGAUGCAGAAGGAGACGUGAAAAGUUGGUAUAUCAGAGACUCAUUAGAGAAAGGAAGUAGAACUUGUUUUUAACAGCGAUGCUGACUUUUUAUGGAGAAAAGAAUACACUAGUUUCAGUUAUUUUUUGUAGUAUGACAGGACGGGCAUUAAGUCUGAAAGUAUCUGUCUGUCUUGCUCUUCGAGGCAUACACUAACAUAAUAGUGUUACUUUAAAGCUCAUAAACGUUUUUAAGUAUUAUAUACAUUUCAUGUGUGUAACAUAUAUUAUCUAAAAUGGGCCAGCAGAACUCUAAAGAUGAAAGAGAGACAGAAAAUUCUAAGGAAGAAAACGAGAAGAAGAUUCAGUAUCAAAUACAGAAACUCAAAGAGAAAAGUGAAAGAAAGGAAAAUCAAAGUUUUCGUAGUAAAGACGAAAAUAUUAAACUUGAGAAGAAACUGUAUAGAGCUGAUCAAGAAACAACCCAGACUGAAAAGAGAGCUAAAACUAAAAAUCCGUUGUCAGGGCGUUCAAUGAAAAUAGAAACUGAAUACAGAACAAACGACAAGGACAAAACUGACAGUGAUAGCGAUGAGGCAGUUGAAAAAGGUGCUGCUUUUCUCGAAGGAGCAGAUAACGGUGACUAUGUUUACCUACACAGUUACCAAUUAAAUAGAGCUACUUACAUUGACUCAGCCCUUGCACAGUCGCUAUGUCCUGAUACUUCUGUGCGAAAAAACACUGAAAACCAUCUGUUUAGGAAAAACAGUCAGCAUUCUUCAAGUAAGAGUGAUACCAGAUUUGGUUCAAUAAAAGAAAAUAAAAAAGCAGAAGAAAUAAAGCCGAAAGCAUGUAUACAUGUACAAGAGGAGGACAAAAAUCCUGAGUUUAUUGAUAUCCAAUUACGCAUUACUUAUAUCACAUUUGAAUGGCGAACGAAUUUUGGCACAGAUGAAGAGCAGGUCCAUAAAGACAGCCCUGCACAAAAAGUAAGAGAACUUGAUCGCACAAACAGUGAAAAACUUGAAAGAGGUCAAGACCGAAGCACAACUUAUGCUGCUGUAGAAAAGUUAGUGAAUCGUGUAAAGAGUAUAGAAGCACGUUCGAAUAAGGACAAACAUGAUCAGCUGAGCACAGCAGGAUCAACCACUCUGCAUGACUUAAACAAGUGGUUUUGUGUACGUAGGUUUUUAGUUGAAGACCUUAUUCGAUUAAAUGAAAAUGUUUUUCGCAAAUUGUUAGCAGAUUUUAUUAAAAAUUUAAAGAUUAAUGCCUUAAAGUACUCAGUUAACAGGCAAGCAUAUCUGCCUGUGUAUGCAAUUGCUUUUAAAGGAGGAGCAAUGCUAAUGCAAGCUUUUGAAGACCAUCAGAUUAUCAAGUAUAUUCUACGUACGCAAAACCUAAGAGAUAUGCAUUUAGGAGAUGAACACUAGACUUGCUACAUUCAGUCUAUCUGUGAUUAAUUACGAACUGGGUGAAAUAAUCAGACUUGCUGGUAGUGGAUUCUUUUGUGAUGCUGAUGGAAGCGUCAAGUGCUUUUGUUGUGGGAAUACAUAUACUAGUAGAUCUGAACUGUUAAGCAGCCACCAUCCAGAUUGUGCCUCACGUACCUCGGAUAGACAUGCCGGUAGAUCUAUUGCAGAUCACUACGGUGAGUCUGCUCCUGGCAGGCUUGUGCCUUCUGGACAAAACGUACAAGAGGAGUAUAGGACCCAAGCCUUUAUUGAUAUUCAUAUACGAUUGACGACCUCUUCCUACAGACUUGGGGGAACUCAGCAGAUGAUAGUGCAAUUGAAUUUUCUGUGAGAGAAGGGCCCACGCAUUCCAGACAGGAAACACCGCAUGGAGCAAAUAUCGAUGUUUCUGUCUUAGGAAACUGUUUGAGGAACAUGCGCAUCCAACACGAAAAUCAAAGAAUGUGUGUUUCUACACAUGAACAUGGAGAUACAGCCAGGUUGGUCCAAGAGAACGAACGUCUGAGAUCAGGAACGCUGUGUUGUAAAUGCAAGAUCAAACGACGCAAUAUCGUUUUCAUACCGUGUGGUCAUUUAGUCGUUUGCGACCAGUGUGUUUCCAACACAACAGUGUGUCCAAAGUGCGGGAAAAAGGUCGAUGAAGCUCAUGUUGUUGGCGAUUAAUUCAUUUAAGUCCUUAUGCUUAGUGUCAGAGUUAGCCAAACAAUUCGACAGUUGGUUCCCAUUCUGUAUAUAUUUAUAAUACUUGUUGACUAUAUGACCUUGCAGAACAUGUAUCAUAUUCCGGCACAAAAGUGAAACAUGAAUUAUAGUGAAAACUCGAUGAUUUGAUUUCAUUGACAAGCGAUAUCUGCCAAUAUCAUAAUAAUGAAAAAGGUCAUACUAUUGAAAUUGCUCUUACUUUUAUACAAUACUUACAAAAAUGUAUAAAAUGAUCACUGACAUUGGGCAUAAAAUCAAAUAAUUGUGUUUUAUCUAUACCCUUAGUUGUUUCGAAAUGAAAAUUGUUUAUAGUUCGCCCAGUGUCGGCAUAUAAAGUUUAUAUUGUAGAAAAAAUUGCAUUAAGUCUCGUGUUCAGUCUAAGGGAGGUAAUUUCCAAAAUGUGUUAUGUAUUAAAUUCAAGAACAAUGGAAGUUUUUGAUAUUGUUUCCAACUGGAGUAAACUUUUAAUUCUUUUUUUUUUGUGGUAAAGAAAUGUUUUCUGAAAGGGUCAUAUAUAUGACUAAUUUAUCCUUACAUAGUCAAUGUUUAAAUAUUUAGCAAUAGAAUAUGAUAAUAUGUGAUACAUAUUUAUUCUCAGGCUGUGAUAGUGACCGAGGCAUCUGCACUGUGAUAUACUUUUACCCUACAAACUGAUGCAUAUGACCAAACGAUUGCUUUUUCAUUUUGUUAUACAUACACAUAGGUAUUAGUUAUUCUACUUUCUAUCGAUUUACCCUGGUACUAUUUUUAAAUAGGAAUACAAUAAAACACUAUAUCUGAUUGGGGUCUUUAUCAUUGAAAGUAAGCAUAGACAUAGGCAUUAAAUUGUAUACUCGAGAAGUACUGGUACUAAUAUAUAUAAUAUGAGCCAUGCCAUGGGAAAACCAA